CAAAAUAGGCCAUAUCGGUUAUGUACAAAUCAUAGUUAAUACUGCAAUGUAAAUUAGCUUCAUUAUAGUAUUAUUUAACCAAUGUGUGACAAAAUAGGCUUUAUUGUUUAUGUUUAAAUCAUUAUUGGUUCAAGCCGUCAGCGCCUUUUAUACAUGUAAGCAUUAUAGUAUAUAUGAUGUAAAGUCUCAACCAGUACAUAUUUUUUGUGUAAUCCAUAUUAUUUGUUGCGAUUUGAAGAAAUUUUAUUGCAAAUUUACACUUUCACAGUUAAUAGGUUGCAAAUGCUAAAAGAUAAAUAUUAGGGUAAAGGACCCAAUAUAAAAACAAGGUAGAUUCAAGCGUUUGAACAAUAGUAGGUACCUGGCAUUCUUAGAUGUUUUUUGAACAAUAAAACACCACAUAAUGUAGAUUUGAUGACCUACUGGCGAUCUCUCUAUUCAAUUAAAGAUGUUGAGAAAUAUCUGAAUGAUCAAAGGAUGGCAUAUAAACGUCACAUUUAUUUUAAGGGCAUUGUUCCGUAAAAUAAAGCAAAAUAUCUGAUAUACCGGUAUGUUUCCCUCUACUUUGUAUCAGCAGCCCUGCAUAUUAUCACGGAGUUUUAGUUUUCUUCUGACAAAUGCAUUUCAAAAGUGUCAAAUUUGAUCAGAGGUAUGUAUAUUGUUGUAUUGUUAAACAAAGAAUUUGCAUUAUAAUUAUUAUUACUGCAUGUACAUGUUUUAUUUAUCUUUCUUUUCAUCAUUAUGCAAUAGUUUAGUUCUUAUACAUAAUUGAAUGCAUAUGCUUGAUUGUAAAACCAAUAUAUUAUGCAAUUAUUUCAUUUUUAUAAAUAAAUAUGCGUUAUUUACACAU
rnacentral:misc_RNA from 1 species